UGAGCAAUGGGUGUGGUUGCCUCAACCAUCCCCAAGAUGUAUACUGCUACCAUCCAAACCAAUUGACUCUUAAUCAAUUGGUUCCAGGUUCAAGUCCUGGGCGGGUCAU
rnacentral:tRNA from 1 species